rnacentral:lncRNA from 1 species
CUCAAAUAUAAAAACUACCAAGAGUUCCCUCGAUUAUAACAAGUGAUAAUCACUGACGCCCUACUACGACUUCAUGACCCAUACAAAAACUAAUAUCGUCACCAAAUUUGGCGAGAUCAAGUUUUACUAGAAAGAAGAGAAUCUUAAAUUUUCAAUUCCAUAUAAUAAAACUUAAGUGUCCUCAAGAAAAUAGGCAAUAAUUUGUAAAACACUUAAAAAUGGAAGGACAAACUAAAACAGCCCAGGACAUCCAGAACUCAUAACAGACAUGAAUUCCUAAAAUCUCAGCACCCAAAGAGAUUAGCAACAAGAACCUUCUUCCUUCAUUCAUUAACAUAUAGAGGAGAAGUUUUGAUUCUAAUUGGCAGUAAAAUUUGUUUACUGCUGUUCAUCAGGUUUAGGUGCUGCUUCUUUAAUUUCAUCGGCUCCAUCGUCCUGAAAUCAAACAAACCAAGAUCAAUACACCAAUUGAACAGGAGGAAAACUAAAAUAUAUGUGAUGCAGGAGUUAUGGUAUAACCAAAUCAAUACCUGCAUGUCAGAUGUCCAUAGGGUGAGGUUAUCACGAAGAAGUUGCAUGAUCAAAGUGCUAUCCUUGUAUGAUUCCUCGCCAAGGGUAUCCAACUCAGCAAUUGCUUCAUCAAAAGCCUAGUGAUUACCAAACAAAAUAUAUUCUUCAUGAGUAUUUAACGUAAUAUACUAUUAGAACAGAAAAAACUAAUAACGAAGUUAUGCUCUUGCUACUUGGACGGACUAUAGAGAAUUUCAAAAUGAAAACUAAGGCUUUGUUUGGGAGUUUGGAGGGGAAUGGAAGGGAGGGGAGGGCUUUGGGGGGUUGGAAAUAUAGAAAAAUGGACAAAAAAUUCACAUUUUUUGAAAGAACAAUUUUUUAGAGAAUGAUAAACUAAUACUUAUAAGUUAUGAUUAAUAUACUUUUAAUUUUAAGAAUAUUAUAACAUAGAUUGAAUUUGAAAAAUUCAUAUAAACCCUCCAUAGCCCCCCAAAACCCUCCCACAAUACAAUUUUUGAGUUCCCCCAAAUGAGGGGGAUUUUUUAUUAUGAGUAAAAAAUUAACCUCCAAAGCCCUGUCUUCCCGAUGUCUUCUAUUUCUUCCACUUGCUCCUUCCAUUUUUUCCAAAACCCUCCCAUCCCCUCCAAACUCCCAAACAAAGCCUAAAGGUAUAAAUUCCAUGGGGACUACACAAGGUGUACCUAAUGUUAUUUACACCAGUUCCUACAGGCUAGAGCAAGGUGUCGAAUAUUGAUUAGUUGCGAGCUACUUAAUUUAAUUGUUCAUAAAACAUUAUUUUCUGAGCAAACCACCAAUAAAUAAAUAGUUGACAACUCAUUUAGGUGUAGGUAAAGUAGGCAAUAAUAAGGGUACAAAAAAGCGAGGUCCAUGAUCCAAAAGUGGUUAGUAGAAUCCAAAACGCAAACAUCAUUGUUGCUUCAAUAAAACGAAAUGAAACAUUAAGUAUGCACGAAGUUUAUCUAAUUAAUUUAACAGCAAAAGUAGUAGAUUCCACCGCUGGGGGGCCAAUUUCUUCACAAAUAUCAAAAACUCUGAUCAAAUAGUGUAAGGGCAUCAGAGUUUAUCUAGUUUUACACUGUUUAAGCUAGCUUAUGUAGACAGCUUAUGCCAUGUUCAUAAAAUGUUUUCAGCUUAUUUCCAUAACUUCUACAGGAAAGCUUAUUGAAAAAAAACUAAUAGUUCAGACAAAAACAAUUUGGCUCUAUUUUAUCUUGUGCUUUUAGAUGAGAAAAGCACUUAUGCUAUAAGCUACAAAAUAAGAUGUUUAUCCAAAAAGGCCUUAAAAUAAAUACAUAAAAACACAGUAAAUGAUAAUCAGUCUCGAAAAUUCUAAGUUCUAACCUGUUUAGCAAGAUUGCAGGCACGAUCAGGAGAGUUAAGAAUCUCGUAGUAAAACACAGAGAAAUUCAGAGCAAGACCCAGCCUAAUUGGAUGAGUUGGUGGCAAUUCAGCAUUUGCAAUGUCCUG